rnacentral:rRNA from 1 species
CUAACACAUGCAAGCCGAGCGGUAGAGAUCUUUCGGGAUCUUGAGAGCGGCGUACGGGUGCGGAACACGUGUGCAACCUGCCUUUAUCUGGGGGAUAGCCUUUCGAAAGGAAGAUUAAUACCCCAUAAUAUAUUGAAUGGCAUCAUUUGAUAUUGAAAACUCCGGUGGAUAGAGAUGGGCACGCGCAAGAUUAGAUAGUUGGUGAGGUAACGGCUCACCAAGUCAGCGAUCUUUAGGGGGCCUGAGAGGGUGAUCCCCCACACUGGUACUGAGACACGGACCAGACUCCUACGGGAGGCAGCAGUGAGGAAUAUUGGACAAUGGGUGAGAGCCUGAUCCAGCCAUCCCGCGUGAAGGACGACGGCCCUAUGGGUUGUAAACUUCUUUUGUAUAGGGAUAAACCUACCCUCGUGAGGGUAGCUGAAGGUACUAUACGAAUAAGCACCGGCUAACUCCGUGCCAGCA